rnacentral:rRNA from 1 species
CCUACGGGAGGCUGCAGUGGGGAAUAUUGGACAAUGGGCGAAAGCCUGAUCCAGCAAUGCCGCGUGAGUGAUGAAGGCCUUAGGGUUGUAAAGCUCUUUUACCCGGGAUGAUAAUGACAGUAUCGGGAGAAUAAGCUCCGGCUAACUCCGUGCCAGCAGCCGCGGUAAUACGGAGGGAGCUAGCGUUGUUCGGAAUUACUGGGCGUAAAGCGCACGUAGGCGGCUUUUUAAGUCAGGGGUGAAAUCCCGGGGCUCAACCCCGGAACUGCCCUUGAAACUGGGAAGCUAGAAUCUUGGAGAGGCGAGUGGAAUUCCGAGUGUAGAGGUGAAAUUCGUAGAUAUUCGGAAGAACACCAGUGGCGAAGGCGACUCGCUGGACAAGUAUUGACGCUGAGGUGCGAAAGCGUGGGGAGCAAACAGGAUUAGAUACCCCUGUAGUC